AGUGAACGCUGGCGGUAGGCCUAACACAUGCAAGUCGAACGGCAGCACAGUAAGAGCUUGCUCUUACGGGUGGCGAGUGGCGGACGGGUGAGGAAUACAUCGGAAUCUACUUUUUCGUGGGGGAUAACGUAGGGAAACUUACGCUAAUACAGCAUACGACCUACGGGUGAAAGCAGGGGAUCUUCGGACCUUGCGCGAUUGAAUGAGCAGAUGUCGGAUUAGCUAGUUGGCGGGGGAAAGGCCCACCAAGGCGACGAUCCGUAGCUGGUCUGAGAGGAUGAUCAGCCACACUGGAACUGAGACACGGUCCAGACUCCUACGGGAGGCAGCAGUGGGGAAUAUUGGACAAAGGGCGCAAGCCUGAUCCAGCCAUACCGCGUGGGUGAAGAAGGCCUUCGGGUUGUAAAGCCCUUUUGUUGGGAAAGAAAAGCAGCAGGUUAAUACCCCGCUGUUCUGACGGUACCCAAAGAAUAAGCACCGGCUAACUUCGUG
rnacentral:rRNA from 1 species